rnacentral:rRNA from 1 species
CUCGUAGGCGGUUUGGCAAGUCGGGUGUGAAAACUCCGGGCUCAACUCGGAGACGCCACUCGAUACUGUCAUGACUCGAGUCCGGUAGGGGAGUGCGGAAUUCCUGGUGUAGCGGUGAAAUGCGCAGAUAUCAGGAGGAACACCGGUGGCGAAGGCGGCACUCUGGGCCGGUACUGACGCUGAGGAGCGAAAGCGUGGGGAGCGAACA